UGUGUUGUAAUAUGACCAGCCAGAAGGUGGCACUUCCUUCUUCCUGCCUGUACUUCUUGUUGAAUUUGUCAUUUCCUGUUACACACUGAAGUAGUCUUAGCCUAUCAUGGUUGCUUUCCUCUGAGCCCUCAUGACACCGCCCUCAAGUGGGUAUAAGGAUUGCUGCAAACCAUAAGUCCACUUAUUUUUAAAGACACAGUGAGAGAGAGAAAGGUUUAACUGAGCAGUUGCUCCUCAAGCUCUCCCUCUGUUUGCACUCCUGGAAAAGAUAAGACAUCCAUGGGCCCCUGGAUCAACCCAACUGGGCCAGCCAGCUUUAUCGUUAGGCAAAGAGAGAGGCGGACCAGCUCAGGUGGGGGAUUUUUGACUGCCAUUAAAGAAAGAGAGAUAAGAGUUGGGGAGCUGCAAUGUGAUGAAACAAGACUAUAAAUCAUUGGUUCUGGGGACAGGCCAAGCUUAUCAGUGCUAGUGGUGAUGUAAAGGAAGGACCCAGAUGCCUCUUCAUUGCUGGACAGAGAACAAACAGGGACUUUUUCAGAAUAAAGGGUAACUUUGUUCAAAAAGUUGGAAGCACUAAAAAGCACAGAUUUUGAACCAGAAAACGAGAGUAUUAUUAAUUCAAUUUCUAUAACACUUUCUCAUCACAGUGCUCCAAACAGCGUACAUCCAAUAAAACAGAUAAAUUAUAAUAAAUUUAAUGUGUUAAAUUUAAAGCAUAAAGCACACAAUAGUAACAGACUAAAAGAGAACCGCAGUAUUGGUUGAUCAGCAGUGAUAAAAUCCCACCUCCUGACCUCCUACUGAUCACUGAAGUAUGUUCUGACUGACACAGGCAUAAUUAUAGUAGAUGUUACAAUUCAACUGUACUCAUUUUCACUGGUCAAGGACUGAAAUAAAGAUUUG